AGGAACGGAGAUUCAGGGGUACACAUUACAAACCACCUGCCCCUAGGCUUGAAAUCUUUUGUCUUGAUUUCUUAUUCUGAAAGCUGAAAAAAAGUGCUAUGGCUUUUCUUUACUGGGGACAAGGGAUGGGGGACAGAACAGGGGAAAACAUGGGUGGGAGCAUAUUUGCUUGAACAAUUAAAUAUAAAAUUAACAUAUGAUCCAGCAAUUUCACAUCUAGGGAUAUAUACCAAAAGAAAGGAAAGCAGGAAUUCAAAUAGAUAUUUGUACACAAAUGUUCAUAGCAACAUAAUGUCAAUAGCCAAAGGGUGGAGAUGAUUUAAGAGUCCAUCAGUGGAUGAAUGGGUGCACAAAAUUUAGUAUAUGCACACAAUGGAAUAUUACUCAGCCUUAAAAAGGAGUGAAAUUCUCAUGCAUGCUACGACAUGGAUAAAACCUAGACAUUAUGCUGAGCAAAAUAAAAGGGCAAAUUCUGUAUUAUUUCACUUCUAUGAGGUUCCCAAAGCAGUCACAUUCUUACAGACAGAAAGCAUAAUGGUGGUUGCCAGGUCUCGGGGAGGGGAGAUAGGGAGUUACUGUUUAGUGGGUACAGAUCAUCAGCCUGAAUUUCAAGAUGAUGCAGAAGUUCUGGAGAUGGAUGGUGGUGAUGGUUGUACAAUAGUGUUAGUCUACUUAAUGGCACUGAAUUGUACUGGAAAUGGUUAACGUGGCAACUUUUAUGCCAUGUGUACCUUAACUACAAUUUCUUAAAAGGGGAUAAAAAGAUCAUGACUACUUAUUUCCUAGGUAUAUCUCCACUAGACUGAAAGGGCUGUGAUGGCAGGGGCCACAUACUUAUAACCAUAUCCCCAGUGCUCUUCACGGUGCUGCCCACAGGAAGUUCUAGCUAAAUACUUAUUAAGUAAGUGAACCAGUGCUGGCCUGCUACUGUGGAGUGAGACUACCUGUGGCUUCCUCUGCCACAGUGCCUUGCUUUUUGACAACGCAGUCAUUGUCUGUUAGCUGCACUUGCAGACUGCCUCUAGACUAGGCAGCUCACUGAAGCUGGGCUAUAAGGGACAUAAGGGCCCAGCUUUCCCACCUUUCAGUCCUAUUGGCCAAUAAAAGAACAAGAUUAGAUAGUACAGACUCUGUAUUAUUGAAUAAUGCAGAAAAUGCCAUUUGGAAUUAGAAGAACUUCUCACAGUAGUAUAUAAUAGAGCACCUUUUAAUAUUUAAGAAUUUUAGAGCUAUCCAAGUGGAUUUCAGUCCUAUGUGGUCAUCAGCAUCAGCUAAGGAACUUGUUAAAAAUACACAUUCUCUGGAUAUUACCCUCUUGAUAUCUGAUUUAGUAGGUCUAGAAUGGGCUCUGGGAACCUCAAUGUUUAUUUGCUUAAGCUGUUAUGCAAAUAAGUUUGGAAAUCUUUGCUCUAAUCACUUCAUAAGUAUGUCUUGCUUACCAAAUGAUAAGCUCCACCAGGGCAAGAAAUGUGUCUUAUAUAAUGUGUGUAUCACCUACAGUGUCUAGGAGGUUAAUAAGUUCUGAGCUGAGUGAUUAAUAUCCCUCUAAGCAUAAAACAGUACAUGGCGCUGGGUCAACCUACAUCUACUCUAUCAUUCCAAUAACUCAAAACCUUAAGACCCAAAUGAAGUCAGCUCUUCAUUCUCAUGCAGAAAAAAAUAUAAAUAUAAGUAAAUAUAUUGCCUGUUGGAGCAAUAUCAGCAAGAGUGGAUUAUUCCUUUAGGUCCACAUCUGUUCUUUCAAAUACUUGGAAUUCAGCAGACUUAUGAAUAACACAUUUCAAAUUACAGGAGAGUCCAAGAGGCAAAAAACAGCAUAUUGUCAAGGCCAAGCAAUGUGUGUUUAAACUAGAACAGCUGCAGAUACAAAGCAACAAAGUUGAUUUAAAUAAUAAUGAUGCCCAUGAUUUGAAUUAUAAACAGUUGUUUUCUUGGCAAUAUAUGUUGUGACCAACCCUGAUUUAUAACUAGGAGAAGGUGAUCUUUCCUUGAUAAUCUACCACAAAAUUUCAUCAUUAUUUUGGAAUGAUGUCUAAAUUCUACUAGCAGCAACACAUUAUUUGUGCUUCAGAUAGUUUUCUGCCCUGAUAUCCCUUUUACAAUGCAAAUGCAUUGAUUUAGAAUUCAUUGAUACUUGAGUAUGAACUAGGUCAGCAUAUUGUAAAGUCAGAACUCUACAUUUAAGAAUACCUUUAGUUAAACAUUUUUGGUUAUGGUGAAAACUGUUAUCUUUUCUCUGACAGUCAAAAACAAAACUGCCUACUGUGGUUCUCAAAGUGUGGGCACUGGACAAAUCAUAUCAGCAUCAGUGGAAAACUUGUUAAAAAUGCAAAUUCUUGGGCUCAUCCUAAAACGACAGAAUCAGAAACUCUGAAGGUAGAGUCCAGUAAUCUGUGUUUUAACAGUCCUUCCAUUGAGUCUGAUGCUCACGAAAGUUUGAGAACCACUGUAUUAUGAUAUUACUGGUGAAGAAGGCUUUCAGUAAUGAAAUGUGCUUAUUUGAAAGCAGCAUUACUCAAACACAUUUGCCUUCAUACCCUUUUACAUGUAACAUCAAUAUCCAUGUAGUCUGCUUAAUGAAAUACACAUUAGAGAUUGUUACACCAGAUUAUGGAAAAGCGAAAUAUGUUAAUUGCACAACUGGCAACAUAUAAUGACAAGAGCAAACACUUAUUGCAUUAUACUCUGUGCCAGCCCCCAGGAAUACUGUGGUAGAUCUGUUAGACAUGAUCCCUUUCUCACUAGGAUAAACAAUGAACAUAUAGAGAAUGUAAUGUAUGAAGUCCACACAGUAUAGAUAAUGUAAAGGGCAAAUUAAGAGGAACAAUGGACAAUUCAGCAUUAUUUGUGUCCUUAAUUUCUUUUGCAAGGCAUUCUCAUCCUUCUCUUGUCCUCAUUGCCUUGGCUGUGGGGACUAAAGCACCUGCCUUCAGCAGAUAUAAUCAGAUUUUACUCAGAAGCACUCUUAGGAAGUCCUAAGUACAAAGGCUUUAGAAAGGUCAUGGUUACCAAAAAGGCUGGUGCUGUGGUCUGAAUGUUUGUGUCCUCCCAAAACUCGUAUGUUGAAAUUCCAACUCUCAGAUACUAUUAGUAGGUGGGGCUUUUGGGAGGUACUUAAGCCAUGAGGGUAGAGCACUCCUGAGUGGGAUUAGUGCCCCAUAAAAGAGAUCCCACAGAGCUCCCUUGCCUCUUCCACCCUGAGGACACAGUGCAAAGUUGGCAGUCUGCAUCCCAGAAGAGGGCUUUCACCACAUCCAGAGCCUGACAGCCUUCAGAACUACUCAGAAUGUUAGAUCCAACUUACACAGCUCUUCUGGCUAGAUGAUCCAUCAGUAACCACUGAUCCUGAAAAGAUGACUCAGCACAACUUCAUACCUCUUCUUAGAAUCUCCCCCUCUGCCUCCUCUCCCUCUCCCUGUCUAAGAAGAGUCAGAAACAGCAGACUACAAGAAUUACAGAGCAACAUGAGUGAGCUCCUGCAAGUCUUUGAAGCCUACAAAGCAAUUUUUUUUCUUUGGCCAAAUUCUUUUGGCAGAGAAAAGUGGAAGACAGAAGGCCAUGGAAAUGUGCCAGAUGACCACCUAAGGGGCAUUGAUUUACUACUUGGAGAGUGACCAGUCAACACUGUGUGGCCUGAGAGCAUGGAUUUUGGAAUGAGACACACCUGGAUUUCAUUCCUGUCUCCACUAUUAUUCUUUACAUAAUUUAACAUUACUGACUCUUUGGUUUAACAUCUGUAAAGUAAGGACAAACACCAAGCAUACUUAACUAGCUGUGAGAGCUAAAGAGGUAACACAAUGUUUAUGAUAAUAAUAAAAAGCAUACAUGGAGCACUUACUAUGUUAAGUGUUUUACACAGAUUCUGUCAUUCAGUCCUUCUAAGAAUGCUAGGAGGAGUACACGGUUCUAUUCCAUUCUAUGGAUGAGAAUACGCAGACACAGAGUGUUUAAGGAACUUAAUCAAGGUCAAAGAGGCUUUAAUGGCGGAUCUGGGAUUCACUCAUGAGCAGACUCCCUUCAGAGCCACAGUUAUUAACUAUUAACUGCUCUUCCUUACCGUUCAGAUCCCUUUCAGCUCUGAAAUGCUAUGAUUCUAGGUCUCAUAUAACAAGUGUGCCUUCUAACACAGACACUGGCAGCUUAACUGAUUGUGGCAGUACAAAAUGUUAUACUUUCUGAUCAUAAAUAGAUACAUGCAUGUGUACAUGAAGGCAUGUAUCUGUCUGAGCAAGCAUUACAGUCACAGUGGAACCUAAUGCUGAUGGGUGAAUUGUAUUCAAAACAUUCUGCCAUGCUCCUGUGCCCAGCCCUCCAAACCAUCACCUCCAGAGCAGAGAUGGACAUUUGCAUUCUGUAUGGAAGCCAGAGACCAAUCUCAUUUUCCUUGCCCAACAAGUGGAAAAAAAAUACUCCAGCUUGAUUAGGAUAUGCAGAGAAGACCCACUCUCUGCACCAGGAGCCUUGAGAUUCCUUUUUAUUGUGUGUUUCUUUUUCUUUUUUUUCCCUCCCAGAGCCUCUUACUGAGGAGUGUCAGGCCAGCUCUGCUUUGCAGCAACACUAUGUUCUCAAUUUAUAACCUUCAUUACUUUUAUUUAGAGCCCCUCAGAACUGUUAGAAAGUUGCAGCCAAUUCACAAGCUUGAUUAACUUGGCCUCUAUCCUCGCUUUUUUGGAUACCUCCAGCUCAAUUCUUUCUGAGACUUUUUGUGUCUGGGAUUACUCAAUUGCCAUUAUUUUGGGCUGAUGUCAUGGGAGAGGAAGGGGAGAGACUAUUUGAAGGAUUUCAUUAUUUACUUUUCAUUAAUUUUGUUACCUAAACUACUGACUGAAGCAGUAUCUCAAGCUACAGCUAUCCUGCAGCACACACAAUCUGGAAGAGUAUACUGCUUCAAAUCAACUGAUGAAAGAAAAAGAUACACCCCCACAACUCUUAUCUACACUUUGUCCUCAUGUACCUCUUCAAACUUUAAGACUGGAAUGAAAACUGCAAUCUGGCUAACUACAAUUCCAGGCUCUGUACCACACAUUAACAUUAAUUCCUUUGUUUUACACACAAAUCUUGUGAAAUGAGUAACACUAUCCCCAUUUUAUGAGUCAACUCAAGUUCAGAGAAGUUCAGAGAUACAUUUAGGACUGCACGGAAAGGAAGUGGCUGAAAUGGUAUUUAAUCCACUUCAAUCUUCAC